rnacentral:rRNA from 1 species
CACCUCUAGCAUUUCCAGUAUUAGAGGCACUGCCUGCCCAGUGACAUCUGUUUAAACGGCCGCGGUAUCCUAACCGUGCAAAGGUAGCAUAAUCACUUGUUCCCUAAAUAGGGACUUGUAUGAAUGGCCACACGAGGGUUUUACUGUCUCUUACUUCCAAUCAGUGAAAUUGACCUUCCCGUGAAGAGGCGGGAAUGACCAAAUAAGACGAGAAGACCCUAUGGAGCUUUAAUUAACUGAUUCACAAAAAACAACACACAAACCUAACCCUCAGGGACAACAAAACUUUUGAUUGAAUCAGCAAUUUCGGUUGGGGUGACCUCGGAGAACAAAACAACCUCCGAGUGAUUUAAAUCCAGACUAACCAGUCAAAAUAUAUAAUCACUUAUUGAUCCAAACCAUUGAUCAACGGAACAAGUUACCCUAGGGAUAACAGCGCAAUCCUAUUCCAGAGUCCAUAUCGACAAUUAGGGUUUACGACCUCGAUGUUGGAUCAAGACAUCCUAAUGGUGCAACCGCUAUUAAGGGUUCGUUUGUUCAACGAUUAAAGUCUU